GACGAACGCUGGCGGCGUGCUUAACACAUGCAAGUCGAACGGAAAGGCCCUGCUUUUGUGGGGUGCUCGAGUGGCGAACGGGUGAGUAACACGUGAGUAACCUGCCCUUGACUUUGGGAUAACUUCAGGAAACUGGGGCUAAUACCGGAUAGGAUCUCCUGCUGCAUGGUGGGGGUUGGAAAGUUUCGGCGGUUGGGGCUGGACUCGCGGCUUAUCAGCUUGUUGGUGGGGUAGUGGCUUACCAAGGCUUUGACGGGUAGCCGGCCUGAGAGGGUGACCGGCCACAUUGGGACUGAGAUACGGCCCAGACUCCUACGGGAGGCAGCAGUGGGGAAUAUGGCACAAUGGGCGGAAGCCUGAUGCAGCAACGCCGCGUGCGGGAUGACGGCCUUCGGGUUGUAAACCGCUUUCGCCUGUGACGAAGCGUGAGUGACGGUAAUGGGUAAAGAAGCACCGGCUAACUACGUG
rnacentral:rRNA from 1 species